AUUGAACGCUGGCGGCAGGCCUAACACAUGCAAGUCGAACGAGUGGCGGACGGGUGAGUAAUGUCUGGGAAACUGCCCGAUGGAGGGGGAUAACUACUGGAAAAGGUAGCUAAUACAGCAUACCAUCGGAUGUGCCCAGAUGGGAUUAGCUGGUAGGUGAGGUAACGGGUCACCUAGGCGACGAUCCCUAGCUGGUCUGAGAGGAUGACCAGCCACACUGGAACUUAUACACGGUGCAGACUUCGACGGGAGGCAGCAGCGGGGAAUAUUGCACAAGUGGCGCAAGUCUUAUGCAGCCAUGCCGCGUGUAUGGAGAAGGCCUUCGGGUUGUAAAGUACUUUCAGCGGGGAGUCGUUACCCGCAGAAGAAGCACCGGCUAACUCCGUGCCAGCAGCCGCGGUAAUUC
rnacentral:rRNA from 1 species